CUGCAAGCUUGAGAUGUCGUAUAUAAAUAUUGUUUCUAAGAAUUUAUUCUUGUACUGCAAGUUUUAGUUGGUUGGCAUACAUUGUUUAUCUGAAUUUUUGAAUGGUUGGUUGGUCUUCUUCCACUGCUUAGGUCUAUUUCAAGCGACAAAUAUUCGUGGAGUUUUGAGGAGUAGCGUCAUAUACUACAACUCUGGCCAACUCUCUAGCAAUAUUUUCACCUAGUGUUGAAGGUGUCGGUCCUUCCUUUUGUGGUUCGCGGCUUUGUGUGGACAGGCUUCUAUUUCUUGUUCUGCGUCUUCCCAUCGAUUAUGGCUAACUUUUGAAUCACUCUUGCUUCAAUGUUACCGCUAUAUUAUAAUUGAGUCAGACAAGAUGUGAGCGGCAAUAGGAUUGGAUUAUAGGAAUCGUACCAAGUUGGAAUGCGCACAGAAGAUUGAAUAGAAUUAUAUAAAGGAUUCAGAACAAGCUUUAUCUUUUGUCAUGGCCUUGUGCAGGUGUCUCUCCUUUUUUACUGGAAAGAAAGAGAAAAACAAGGUAACAGAUAUGUACUUAUAUUGGGUGUGCUUGAUUUGUAUUUCAAAAACCCAUAUUGGGUGUUUUCGGUUGCUGUUUUCAAAAACUAUUUUUUAAGUAAUAAAAACAAAAUAUAGUAAACAGAUAUCCACACGCAGCACCACUUUAACGACUUCUUAGAUCCUUGAGUUUGGACUACAAAAGAGAAAAACUGAUGAUAAAAUAUCGUAUACCUUACCUGCUUUGUUUUUUUUCUUCAGGGUGCUGCUGAAGGGUCUUCAACCGGGGACCUUAAAGCUCAACUUGGCGAAAUACAGCACCCGAAGAUUUCAUCAGAGCGUCGUGAUUUGAAGCCGG
rnacentral:lncRNA from 1 species